UAAGACUGGCUGUAGCGAUACUUCGGUCUAUUAGUGGCGAACGGGUGAGUAACACGUGAGCAACCUGCCUCUUACACUGGGAUAACAGUCGGAAACGGCUGCUAAUACCGGAUAAGACCACGCCGAGGCAUCUCGGAGGGGUCAAAGCGAUCUAGCGGUAAGAGAUGGGCUCGCGUCCCAUUAGCUAGUUGGUGAGAUAACAGCCCACCAAGGCGACGAUGGGUAGCCGACUUGAGAGAGUGAUCGGCCACAUUGGAACUGAGACACGGUCCAGACUCCUUCGGGAGGCAGCAGUGGGGAAUAUUGGGCAAUGGAGGAAACUCUUACCCAGCAAAUGCCGCGUGAAUGAAGAAGGCCUUCGGGUUGUAAAGUUCUUUUAUUGAUGAUAAAGAAAGUGAUAUUAGUCAAUGAAUAAGCCCCGGCUAACUAUGUGCCAGCCGCAGC
rnacentral:rRNA from 1 species